rnacentral:rRNA from 1 species
UAGUCCUACGGGGCGCAGCAGUGGGGGAUAUUGCACAAUGGGGGGAACCCUGAUGCAGCGACGCCGCGUGGGUGAAGGAGCGUUUCGGCGCGUAAAGCCCUAUCGGCAGGGAAGAAGGAGGACGGUACCUGACUAAGAAGCCCCGGCUAACUACGUGCCAGCAGCCGCGGUAAUACGUAGGGGGCAAGCGUUAUCCGGAUUCACUGGGUGUAAAGGGAGCGUAGACGGCCAUGCAAGCCAGGGGUGAAAGCCCGGGGCCCCACCCCGGGACUGCCCUUG